AGUGAACGCUGGCGGUAGGCCUAACACAUGCAAGUCGAACGGCAGCACAGUAAGAGCUUGCUCUUACGGGUGGCGAGUGGCGGACGGGUGAGGGCUACAUCGGAAUCUACUUUUUCGUGGGGGAUAACGUAGGGAAACUUACGCUAAUACCGCAUACGACCUACGGGUGCAAGCAGGGGAUCUUCGGACCUUGCGCGAUUGAAUGAGCCGAUGUCGGAUUAGCUAGUUGGCGGGGUAAAGGCCCACCAAGGCGACGAUCCGUAGCUGGUCUGAGAGGAUGAUCAGACACACUGGAACUGAGACACGGUCCAGACUCCUACGGGAGGCAGCAGUAGGGAAUAAUGGACAAUGGGCGCAAGCCUGAUCCAGCCAUACCGCGUGGGUGAAGAAGGCCUUCGGGUUGUAAAGCCCUUUUGUUGGGAAAGAAAAGCAGCAGGUUAAUACCCCGCUGUUCUGACGGUACCCAAAGAAUAAGCACCGGCUAACUUCGUG
rnacentral:rRNA from 1 species